UACGGGGGGAGCAAGCGUUGUUCGGAUUUACUGGGCGUAAAGGGCGCGUAGGCGGUCAGCACAAGUCAGUUGUGAAAUCUCCGGGCUUAACUCGGAAAGGUCAACUGAUACUGUGCGACUAGAGUGCAGAAGGGGCAACUGGAAUUCUCGGUGUAGCGGUGAAAUGCGUAGAUAUCGAGAGGAACACCUGCGGCGAAGGCGGCCUUCUGGACAGUGACUGACGCUGAGACGCGAAAGCGUGGGGAGCAAACAGG
rnacentral:rRNA from 1 species